rnacentral:lncRNA from 1 species
CUUACAGUCUAGUUCCUAGGUAUUCAGUCUGUCAUUAGCCAUUUAUCUCAACUAACUGAUUUCAUUUUGCUCAUGAAAAAUUGAUUAACCUGCCUGUGUCAUAAUCUAAAUUUGCUUUAACAGUUUAAAAGUAUCUUGUUAUCAUUGUCAUCAGAAAGCACUUGUGCCAAACUAUACAGAGAGGUGUGCUUCAUGCUGGAUCUGAAGAGAAAAGGAUAAAAUCACUGAUGAUGAAAAGUCCUGGAGGUGGCAAGAGAUGGACUCAAUGGAUGAAGCAGAGUGUUACCUAUUCCUCAGAGAAAUGAGUGAAAAAAAAUGAAGAAAGAAGUUGAAUGAAGAUACAGAAGCUGACAUGGAAAGAACAAGGUCCUGAAAAGAUAGAAUCGAUUCAGCCAAACUCAGCAAAUCCUUUGCCAAUUAGGGUGUUAUGGGGAAUUAUUUGCAGAGGAAGGAGUCUGAAAUAAUUGAAAUCCAGUGGCAAGACAACAAUCAAAAUAAAUUGUGAUAGCUUGGGACA